UACGAAGGGGGCUAGCGUUGCUCGGAAUUACUGGGCGUAAAGCGCACGUAGGCGGUCUUUUAAGUCGGGGGUGGAAAUCCUGGAGCUCAACUCCAGAACUGCCUUCGAUACUGGAAGACUUGAGUCCGGGAGAGGUGAGUGGAACUGCGAGUGUAGAGGUGAAAUUCGUAGAUAUUCGCAAGAACACCGGUGGCGAAGGCGGGUCUCUGGGCCAUUACUGACGCUGAGGAGCGAAAGCGUGGGGAGCGAACAGG
rnacentral:rRNA from 1 species